rnacentral:rRNA from 1 species
UACGAAGGGGGGCGAGCGUUGUUCGGAAUUACUGGGCGUAAAGGGCGCGCAGGCGGCUCUGAAAGUCAGAUGUGAAAGCCCCGGGCUUAACCUGGGAAUUGCAUUUGAUACUCUGGAGCUUGAGUACGGGAGAGGAGAGUGGAAUUCCCAGUGUAGAGGUGAAAUUCGUAGAUAUUGGGAAGAACACCGGUGGCGAAGGCGGCUCUCUGGACCGUAACUGACGCUGAGGCGCGAAAGCGUGGGGGAGCAAACAGG